ACAGACGCCUCACAGCAGGAGACUGUGGACAGUGUAGACACUGUGGAGAGUGUCGAUACUGGGGAUCAGCCCUUGCCCUCCUCCACUUCUGACGCUGGGACACAGUGUUCUUUGAAGCCCCCCCGAUGGUCUCACGCUGUGCAGGUUUACCUGAAGCCCAAGAUGGUCAGCGUGGGCACACAGACAUCAUUCGGCACACAAACCUCCACUCCCCUUGCUAGUCCUGAACAGACAGAUGAAGAUGAUGAUAAUGCCUCUGUCAUCAGUGACUUAUCGUGGGUGCCCGAAGAGCCGAUGCAUGAGGAAGACUUGUUUGAUGAGGAGCCACCAUACACGUGUGACCCCCAUCACAAUGGCAUUGACAAAUUCAUUGUUUGCUAAGAGGAGCUGAUGGGCCUUUUUGUCAUCUGUCCGGCCUGUUGUGAGAGGUCAGAUAGUAGCAUCGUGCAGCAGGAAGGAACUUUUCUUAAGAUCAAGCAGGUACGGUUUUGUUUACGCAGCAGGCCAUCUGAUUAGAAAAUCAGAAUAUCUAAUUACAAUCUGAUAGCUCUGACUGUCUUGCCAGUUAAUUUAAUUUACAAUGUAUGUACCAGGCUGGCUUUAGUCUAUUGGUUUGUGAUGGCAUCAUAUUUGAGUGUUAUACUGUAUUGGUCAUGUGUGUUUCAUUGAAAACAUGAAACCUUUGACCAGUAAUGUACAGUACCUAAUCUAUAUUGAAU